AUUGAACGCUGGCGGCAGGCUUAACACAUGCAAGUCGAGCGGAGAUGAGGUGCUUGCACCUUAUCUUAGCGGCGGACGGGUGAGUAAUGCUUAGGAAUCUGCCUAUUAGUGGGGGACAACAUUCCGAAAGGAAUGCUAAUACCGCAUACGUCCUACGGGAGAAAGCAGGGGAUCUUCGGACCUUGCGCUAAUAGAUGAGCCUAAGUCGGAUUAGCUAGUUGGUGGGGUAAAGGCCUACCAAGGCGACGAGCUGUAGCGGGUCUGAGAGGAUGAUCCGCCACACUGGGACUGAGACACGGCCCAGACUCCUACGGGAGGCAGCAGUGGGGAAUAUUGGACAAUGGGGGGAACCCUGAUCCAGCCAUGCCGCGUGUGUGAAGAAGGCCUUAUGGUUGUAAAGCACUUUAAGCGAGGAGGAGGCUACUGAGACUAAUACUCUUGGAUAGUGGACGUUACUCGCAGAAUAAGCACCGGCUAACUCUGUGCCAGCAGCCGCCGCAGUAA
rnacentral:rRNA from 1 species